AAUAAGGAGUCGGACCUGCCCGGUGAAGUUUUUUAACGGCCGCGGUACUCUGACCGUGCAAAGGUAGCAUAAUCAUUUGCCUUAUAAUUGAAGGCUGGUAUGAAUGGUUUGACAAGAAUAUAGCUGUCUCUUUAUGAUYUGWUAGAAUCCRGUUGUAGGUGAAAAAGCCUUAAUUUAAUUAAUAGACAAGAAGACCCUAUCGAGCUUAAGAGAAUUUAGUAGAUGGUUGGGGCGACUGAGGAACAUAGAAAGCUUCCUUUAAUUUSGUACUGAUCCAAAAAUGYUGAUUGAWGGAAUUAUUUACCGU
rnacentral:rRNA from 1 species